ACCGGCGGCUCGAGUGGUGGCCACUAUUACUGGGCUUAAAGCGUUCGUAGCUGGCUUGUUAAGUCUCUGGGGAAAUCUUCCGGCUCAACCGGAAGGCUGCUCAGGGAUACUGGCAGGCUAGGGAACGGAAGAGGUGAGAGGAACUGCAAGGGUAGGAGUGAAAUGCUGUAAUCCUUGGGAGAACACCUGUGGCGAAGGCGUCUAACCAGGACGGAUCCGACAGUGAGGCACGAAAGCUGGGGGAGCAAACAG
rnacentral:rRNA from 1 species